CUCUUGGUUAAUAUCAUGACAAUAUCAUAGUGCUCCUUCUAGAACAGAGCAACUCAGGAUCAUGGAUACUGCAAUGUUUUCAGAGACUUUACUAGAGAUGGGGGAACUGAAGAAAGAUGAUCUGCAAGCCAGGAAGAGGGCUGUCACCAGAAACCAACCUGCUAGCAUCCAAAUCUCAGACUUCCAGCCUUCAGAACCGUGAGAAAUAAAUUUGGAUUACAUUUUGCCAAGGUUGCAUUUGCUGUGUAUGUAGAAUUCUAUGCAUUACUCAGAACUUUCUGGACACUUAUAAAACUGAAGCCCUGUGGCUAUAAAUAGAAAAACAGGAGUCUGAAGAAGGAACAUUAAUUUCCUAGGAAUGUAGGCACAGCCACAAGCCUGUCCCUUCGGGGAGCCCACAUAAAAUGAAGCAUCAGAUAAGUGGAAAUGAAGAAUCCACUAAACGAAUGAUUGACUAUUAUAAAGAAUUGCUUGAUUGGUAUUACCAGAAACCUACAAACAAGUCAUGAGAAGAAAAGUAACAAGAGCAUGUGCUAUUAUUUCUUAAUAGGAGAGCAGACAGAGAAGUCAUUUCUGAGCCAUAUUUUGGGUCAAUGUUAUCAGCUCUAGCUUCUACCUGUGGCAGACAUCACCAAGCAAUUGCCAUACUUUCCCACUCAGUACAGACAUCGCCCCAGGAUCCUUCUUGACACAGCACUCCCAGCAACCAUCAGCCAUUAUCAAUGAACUAAAGCUGCCGUAGAAAAUAGCAUUUAAUUGCCUUCUUGCAUCUAGUGAUCCUUCCUUAAGAUCAAUAAGCAUGGAGGAAAUUGUGGAUCAAUCAGCAUGAGUCUAUUUACUUUUAUGGGUGGUCUUGAGGGAAGCUGGUUAACUUCCAAUCCAUAUAUCCUUGCAUUCUUCUACUAAUUGUGAUGAAGCAUUAGAAAAUUUAAGAAAUCAUGAGCUAAGUGCAGGGUAUGUACCAUGGUAAUCAGACUGAGUAGCAUAUCAUUUUCAUUAAGUAAGAGAGCACAGAGAAGAUAAACAUGUCAGCCCCCACAGUUACCAUGUGAAGUCCUAGGGGAAUCUUAUUAUUAAAUUAAGAAAAGUAUCAUGUCUGGCAGUACAUAUACAUUCAUUCAGACAUAUAUAUUAAUUAAUUUUAGUGUGAUGGCAAUGCUCUCUAUUUGGAUAGGGCUCCAGGUAGAUACAUUUAAUAAAGCUCAUGGAAUGGUAUAUUUAAGAUUUGUGAAUUUCAU